rnacentral:rRNA from 1 species
CCAAUAGCGUAUAUUAAAGUUGUUGCAGUUAAAAAGCUCGUAGUUGAAUUUCGGGAUCAAUAUAACGGUCAUGCCGUUGGUAUGCACUGUUAUAAUUGAUUUCUCACCUUCUAAAGAACCGUAAUGCCAUUAAUUUGGUGUCACGGGGAAUUAGGACUGUUACCUUGAAAAAAUUAGAGUGUUUAAAGCAGGCUCACGCUUGAAUACAUUAGCAUGGAAUAAUGAAAUAGGACAUCCGAUUCUAUUUUGUUGGUUUCUAGGAUCGAUGUAAUGAUUAAUAGGGAUAGUUGGGGGCAUUAGUAUUCAAUUGUCAGAGGUGAAAUUCUUGGAUUUAUUGAAGACUAACUACUGCGAAAGCAUUUGCCAAGGAUGUUUUCAUUAAUCAAGAACGAAAGUUAGGGGAUCGAAGACGAUCAGAUACCGUCGUAGUCUUAACCAUAAACUAUGCCGACUAGGGAUCGGAUGAUGUUAAUUUUUUAAUGACUCAUUCGGCGCCUUACG